GCAUAAUUUAUACAACAUAUGAAAGGAAAUUUUCUCUCAUUUUCUCAACUUGCCUGCGCCGUUUACGGAAAAACCCUAGUGAGACUUCCACUCCAAUCCGCCGGGAAUUGCAUAAGACCACCGAAUCGCCGACGUCAUCGACGCAAAACCCAGCCAACACAGACUUAUCCACGCCGUUUGCAAGUUUUUAGACUCAAAGGACGACCAACUCGAAUCUCUAACCCCACCUUCCAAACCGACGUCGCCGGCACAAACCCUAACCGACGAACGCUUUGCCACGGUCACCAGAAACUAUCCACCACGGAAUAGAUUCGCAAACCCUAGCCCCAAUUCACGGCGUUCAGAAGCAACUCAAUUAGAUCGAAGUCGGUUUUGAUUUCAGAAUCGGAGAAAUAAUGGAAGGCAUUAGACGAUUCAAUGGUCUGUUAGAUGGUUUGGGUCCACGGUUUGAAGAUUGGUGAGGAACUGGGGUGCUUCCUGUUGAUGCUGAACAACACCCUCCGAAUAUUCCCGAAUGCAAGACAUCGUUUAGGCUUCUUCCUACUGGAAUGCGCCCACGACUAACCAAUGCUGAGAUGACCAACUUAUAGAAGCUUGCUAAGUCGCUUCCUUGCCACUUUGCCCUUGGUAAUUUACCUUCGGUUACUCAAAGAGAAGUAAAAAAUGGAAGGAAAAAGGAAGAGCAGGUGGAUAUCUCAUAGUGACAGCAAAAAAGGAAAUCAAGCUGCAAUCGAUAGGAAAAAGUGGAUGGGCGGCGAAAAGUUCCUAACAAUUGGAGAAAGUAAUAAUCAGAGCCUGGGAGAGACAGAAAGUUUAUUGUUUGGAGAACCUACAAAGGCCUAACACCUACCACCCAUUCCGAUGCAGAAUAUGGUCAACAAAUUCGAGGUUAAAAUUUUUUAAAAAUAAGGUAAUCUCAAAAAAUUUCUUCACCAAAAAUGAAUAAGUGGCAACAUUGGAAAGAUGAGAGGCUUCUCUUUUCCAGUGCAGUAACAUGCCUGAAAAUGUCAAUCCUGAAUUAUUAUCCAGACUAAUAGUUACAUCUAUUUUUUGCAGGUGAUACAUGUUUUAAAGAUAGUAAUAUUAUAUUUCAGAUUAAUUAAAUUACAUUAGUUACCUAUAAAUCUGAACGAAUACUGCAUAAUUUAGUCUUAACUUAUCUUUUAAUUAAAAUUCAAUUAGUUAUCAUUGUAAUGACUGAGUUUUUAUUUGGAGAAUUCUAGCACUAACCAAAUACAUUUCAUUUUCAGGUACUGAUGGAAUAAAAAAAUAGAAUAGGUUUGCAGCAUUGGAAAUAUGACUUCUUGUUUGUUGUGUAUACUGACACACGCACACACCAUCUUACAUUUAAAGGAAUUGUAUUCUCUGCACUUUGUAUCGAUAUUAUUAAACAAAAAAUAUAAUAAUUACACAGGCAGCAAA